rnacentral:rRNA from 1 species
UACGGGGGGGGCAAGCGUUGUUCGGAAUUACUGGGCGUAAAGGGCUCGUAGGCGGCCAACUAAGUCGGACGUGAAAUCCCUCGGCUUAACCGGGGAACUGCAUCUGAUACUGGAUGGCUUGAGUUCGGGAGAGGGAUGCGGAAUUCCAGGUGUAGCGGUGAAAUGCGUAGAUAUGUGGAGGAACACCGAUGGCGAAGGCAGCCCCCUGGGUCAAAACUGACGCUCAUGCACGAAAGCGUGGGGAGCAAACAGG